AUUGUGAGUCUCCAGCCUUGAGCUGUAUUUCAUCACGGUUUGCUUCGCUUGUUGAUGGUGCCUUUUGGAAUUCAGAAGAACAUCACUAAUCAUCCAUUUAAAACACAGUUUCUCCAAAUGGAGAGUCUUCGUAGAGCAUCACCUGGCUCCCAGAUGAUGGUGAAGCACCCAGACAGAACACAGAACCUUAACAGGGAAGCUCCCUAUCAAGAGCUGAGAGGGAGCAAAAUGUGGACUGGCUGUGGUUCCCUGAGGACCGGAUUGGGAAACACUGGAGCCUCCCCCCCCCGCAGUGGUGUCAGCCCAGGUCCUAUUGGCUGCCUCUCCAAGGCGACUUUCCUUCCAAGAUAUCUGUAAUAAAUUAGCUCUGAUUAUGUUGAUAAUAAAAAAAAAAAA